AACACAACAGUUUUUUUGAAAUUUCAUGAGUUGACGUUUAUUAUGACUGUUAUUUUUUUUUUUGUAUGGUAGCACUGAAUUUCGAACUCGAAUUGUAAAGUUCGCCAACCGUAAUACGUCGAAUGGGUUAGUUCGCCAAUGAAAACAUCUCACGUCGAACGUUCGAUUCGCCAACCAUAAUAGGGGCCUAAGUAACGUUAAUAGAAAUUUUGCCAUUAUUGAUUGACUUUUUCCGUCAGCGGUCCUAACUCCUGAACUAAAGGGUAUAAUAGGACAACCAAGUUGUUCAAUCAACUGUUUGCAAUUUUUUCCCAAUAUGCUUACACCACACCACUGUCUAGUAAGCCUAAAAACUCUAUCGAACCUAUUUUAAUUUUGGCAUAAGACCAAGGAUCGGAUUCUAAAUUUAAAAUAGUGGAAGAUAUUUUCUUUGAAGUAUCUUUACGGGCCUUGAAUCUCGCCCUUGCCUUUAAAAUAUUUUUCGAAGGAGUGCUAAUUUCACCGUUAAAAAUUCUUGCCUGAGCUUUCUCAUAUUCCUGAAGAUGCCCAUGUAUUAUGUAACGGUUUAAUUUCAUACCUCUCUCUUUCUGUUACCUAAUUUUUUAUAAUUUCUCGUUUUAAAAUUUGGAUUUUUAUCUCAUUCUGUUGCAAGAGGGUGGCGGAGGUGGAAUUUUUAAAAUCUAUUGGCGGUUUUGAUUUGGAUUGACACGCGAUUCCCCCGUACCCUUCGCGUCCCGAGAACGGUUUCCCUGAUUGCAUCGUACAUCGCAUAAGCAGCAAGCUGUUCAUCAGCGGGUUGGUACUCCUCCUCCAAUUGCAGUUCAUUAACUGAAUAAUUGCCGGGUGGUUUGGCAAAUGGUUUUGGCAAUUCCUUCCUCAGAAAUGUCACUUCUGCAUCCUUGCAAGCAGUCCUCAGCUGAUCCGAGAAUCCGUACCAUCUCUACAACCGGUGUUGGGACCCUUAACUGGAAUUUCAUCUUAUUUCUAGCCAUACAAAAAUCUUCGCUAUUCUCCCAGAAAUGCCUCUUGCGAUCCAUAAUGUCUCGGAUUAUCUCGAAGUCAAAGCGAAUAUUUCUAUACUGAAGCAGCAAGGCAUCCUUCAAAGCUUGCCAGUCAUGAUGGUAAUUUGUCCGCUGAAACUGUCAGUACCACUCGGUAGCAUUUCCUGAGAGAAGUAGAUCAAAAUCUCUUAAUACGUCUGCCCAUUAAAAUCUAUGCUUGUUCCGCUGGAUCUCAACCCAAAGUACAAAAUCCUCAGCGGUCAUAGUCGCUGGUUGGCCAUCGAAUUUCAAGCUCCAUCUAUCCAAUCUUAUUGGACCUUGGGGUCUCGGAUCCUGAGUUGGGCCGUAGUACUCCGGUUGGUAGCCGUAUGGGUUAGGAGUUCGCAUAGGGUAAAAGCUGGCAUAGGGAUCUGACGGGAUUUCAUCAUACGCAGCGGGAAGAUUACCCCUAUCUUGAUGUCUCCUCGUCGGGUCAUGUAUUCGGUGACACGGUUGAUUAACCGGUACAAACGCGCUUUCACCUGGAUCAACUGGAGGAUACUGCUGCGCUGGUGGCUGGGUCGUCGGCACGGGUCCAGGCAUCUGAUCAGUAGAAGAAAUUGUUUGGCCCUAUAUUAAAAUUGCUAAGGAAUUCACCUAGUUGAUUUUGGAUUUCACUCUUUAAGAAGGAGGUGGACUUUGAGCUAGGCUCUCUAAGAUGUCCCUGGAACUACCAGAGCCAGCUGCCUGAACAGAUACCGGUCUAUUACUAGUAUCAGGCACAAGACCUGUCUCUGGUCGCACAGUAUCGCACACAACUAACCUCACGAAAACGAAAAUGUAAACAAAAAUAAAUAAAUAAAGUAUUGAUGAAAAAAUAUAAACUUAACGAAACUAGAAUAAAAAAAAAAAGAACAAAAUAAAUUCGAAAUACUAAAUUAAGAUAAAUAAAUUAAUCAAACAAAAACAAAAUGUAUACUUAACGAAAAUUGUAUACGAAAAAUAAAUAAAUAAGAAAAAAAAAAACUGUAAAUGGUAAACUUGAACCAAACAAAACCUUAUAUUGUAACAAAAAGAUAUAUAAACAGCAAAAAGUUUAAUAAAUAACCAACAAAAUAAUAAAUAGCUAAAUAAAUUUUUAAUAAAUAACGAAAACUAGUAAAUAAAUAAUGUAAACGAAAAAAGCAAAGAAAAAUGUUGUAUAUAAAUAACGAAUUACUCAAAACCAGUACUUAAACUUACAAAAAAAAAAAAUGUAACCAUGUCACUGUAAAUAA